UGUGAUUUUCGGCAAUCUCUUUUACCCACGUAAAAUCGUAAAUCGAAGCUAAGGGCUAAUAAUUUUAUAAAUUAUAAAUUAUGGCCUAGCAUAAUUGUAAAUAAUGUGAGGAUUUAUUUUUGUCCAUUUAAGGGUAAUUGGAAUUUUUAUCGCCGAUUAUUUCGGUUUUUCACAAAAUCGAUUGUCGAAACAUUUGAGGUGUCGGACGAGAAUAAUUUUAGAUUAAUCUAGGAUUAAUGUGCUACGAGAUGGUAUAUAGAAUCCAUAAAUAUGGGAUCUUAUGACAUGAAAAUAAAUUAGUACAAGGAAAUAAAUUUAACUUAAGUAAAUAAAUAAUUAGAAUUUUAAAGAAAAAUCUAGAAGUUGUUGGAUAAAAUUUAAAAGUCAAAGACUUAUCUUCUCUCCCUCAUGAUUUUCGUCCAUGAGCAGCUCCCCUCAACCUCUAUAGCCAAAAACCUUCUUUCCCAUUUAUUUGGCUUGUUCGUCGGCAAAUCGGGGAUUUAAUCGUAUAAAACAUAGCAAAUCAAUAUAAGGCAUAGAAGCUUGUAACACGAGUCGUGCAAAAAUGAAUGGAUCUAUAAGAUAGCGAAGGGUCGAAAGGUGAAAUAGGCUUAUGUUCAUAAGCCUGCGAGGUUAGAGUUGAUAUUAUGUCAGUGGUGUUGCGCAGCUUUGCAUCUUUUGCGAGUCACUGGUGGUCAACUUGGUUUAGUAGUCAUGGCAUGUUGUAUAAUAGUUUAAUCUUUAAUCUUCCGCAGGAUAAAUGUUAAGUUUUUUAAAUGUAAUAGAUUUUAAUUGUGCUUUUAAGCUAAAUAAGAAAAAGGAAAAUUUAAGCACGGGUUUUCGAUACUGAAACGUGACAUCACUUAUUCGGUGGGUACCUACCGGGUAAGGGGUGUUACAAGUUGGUAUCAGAGCCUAGGCUUAGGCAGUUCUGGAUAAAAGUGAGUCAAUAAAGUGUGUAGAAACAUGCCACGUAGGAGUAAAUGUCUGUUAGUACCAGUGACUUGAUGCAGCUGCCUUGGUCUCAAGUUGAAAGAAGUUAGCAAAGUACGGGACAUAAUUUCCCGUGUGACUGAGAAAGAUGUUAUAUGGGACUGGCCACCCCAUAUAGCUCGAAUCUCGGUAGCGUCGGUAUGUGUAAAAAAAUUUAAAAAGUGCAGGGUGGAUAUGUUUGAAAAUGUUGAUGAAAAGUGUGUCUUAAUGAAAUAUACUACUCCCUCCGUCCCGCUUUAGCAGUCCCGGUUGAGUCGUGCACAUGUUUUAAGGGAUAUUUAAGUGUGUAAUAAAUAAAUGAUGUAGGGGAGGUUGGGUCCCACUUUUAAACAACUUUUUUACUUUUUUGCUUUUAAGUGUGUAAUAAAUAAAUGAUGUAGUGGAGGUUGGGUCCCACUUUUAAAUGAUGUAAUAAAUAAAUUGAUGUAGUGGACAUCAAUUUUUAUGCACCGAGUUCAACCGGGACUCCUAAAGUGGGACACCCGAAAUUGAUCAACCGGGACUGCUAAAGCGGGACGGAGGGAGUAAUAAAUAAAUGUAAGUUAUGAAAGAGUAUAAGUAAAAGAGAAGAAAAAGAGUUAAAGGAAGGAUAUGGAAAGAAAGUAAGUUAUAGACUAAGUGACCAUUAUGAUAUAAAGGUGUAACACAAAAAUUCACAAAGGUAUGUGAAUUGUCUGAUAUAAAAUGGAUUAAUAGUCAUAAAGUAAUAUCCUAUAAUGAUAAACAAAAGUAUAGAAAUAUGUGAAAGAAAAUGUGUUUGGCAAAAUGAUAAAUAUUGAAAUGAAAACGUAUGAAACUAUAAGGCAUUAUAUGAAUAAAACCAUAAAUGUGUGAUUGAGCAAAUGCGACGAAUAAGAAAUAAGUGAUAUGAUCUGAACACGUGUGCCCCUAUAUGGAUUAUAUGUGUAUUCUGAAUCGAAAAAUAGGAAAUAUGAUGUGAUGCGAUAAAGAUAUAAGCUAAGUAAGUGUACAUGAUAUAAGAUAUGUGAUAUAAAAUGUGAUCAGAUUAGAAUGUGAACUCCGUAAGAACUAUGUGUGCGCUCGAAGACGAGCUAAACGAAUAUGGAAAUUUAAAUGAGGAUUUAGAAAUGAAAUGGAAAAUGAAAAUGGGCGCUCUAAGUGAGCUAUAAUAUAUAUGAAAUGAUAUGUCUAAAAAUGUAAGUUUAAAAUGAAAUAAAUAUAUGAGUUUGAAAUUGAGCGAUAUGAGGAAAAAGGGUACUAUGCUUGAAAGUAUGGAAUCCAAUGAAUCAUAUGUGUGUUGAAAGAAUGUGAAAUGUAUUGAUGACCAAUAUAUGAUGAAAUUUGAAAAUGAAAUUUGGUAUAUGGUGCGACGGGAGUAUUCGAUGAGCUCAUGCGGGUGUACUUCGCUUAACCCAUAUACAUGUGUGUUAUCACUAAGCACUUGAGACAAAUGAGUGCAAAUAUUUGAGGUGAUCGGUAUGUAUUUCUAUAUAUGAUUAUGUGCGAACUAGCACAUGUGAUAAAAUGUGUUAUAAUAUGUGGACAUAUGAAACAUAUAUGAUAACUGUGAUAUGUGACUUGUGAUUUGAUGUGUCUUGAUAUAUGUGUGACUUGGGAAUUGAAAUGUGAUGAUAUAUGGUCUGAUAUGCAUGGAUAUAUAGUCUGAUAUGCCCGGAUAUAUGGUCCAUGUAUUCAGACCUUGUUAUAUGAGUUUUUAUUGAGUUAUGAUACUAGUACUAAGAGUUAGAGAUUUAAUGUUGUGAUGAUGAAUAUUGAGAUGUGAAUGUGUGGAACUAUAUAAUGUUUUGGACGAAGUGAUAUAUGUGACUGCGUGCUCUAAAUGGACUAUAUGGUGCUAGAAAGUGAGCUAUAGGCAUAUAAUGUGAUAUGAUGGAAAAUUUGUGCGCUGCAUGAGAUAGAUGAAUGUGUUCGAAACUAAGUCAAAUGAAGUGAAAUAUGAUAUGAUUGAAAGUAACAAAUUCAUAUGAAUUAUAUGCUUGAAACGAACUAUGAGAAAGCGAAAAUGUUUAUGAUCGAUACAUGACGGGAUUCGAAAAUAAAUAUGGUUGUUGAUGAAUGUUAACUUGUUAUUUGAACUUUGUUGUGAAUUGUUGGGUUGAUGUGAUAAUCUAUUAUUAAUAUUGUAUCUUGUUGGUUUUUGGGCAUGUAGUAGUUAUAGAGGAAAUGCUGCCCAAAUUUUGACAAAAGUUCAUAAGAUAAAUUAAUACGAAGUUGUGAUAAAUAAAAUGAAAGGAGAGAAUGUAUGAUGUGUUGUGAAUGAUAAUGAAUGGAAACAUAAUGAAAAUAUUAUGAUGAUAUAUGGAAAAUGAAAUGCACCAUUUUUAUGGGCUAUAUGCACCCGAAUAAUGGCUAUAUGGUAUAUGAUGAGUAUGUGAAUUAUACAUUAUGUGAUGAAUAUGAUAUGUACGCCCCAUGUGGGCAAAGAAAGGAUGCAAGUAACAUGGAAAUUUUUAUGUAAAGAAAUGAUAACGUUACAUGAUGGAACCAAUAAUCUCAAUAUUAUAUAUUAGGGUGAAAUAUGAACUUAUGUGGCAUUAUAUGUGAAAGUUAGAGAAUGUGAUUAUAAGUGCGAUUUUGUGACUUGAUGUGGAGAAAUGAGGAUACGCUACGAAUAGGAAAUGACGUAAUGCCAUGAAAUGGCAUAAGUGAAACCCUAACGCUUCUAGGAGUAAGCAAAUUCGAUGGAAUUUCGAGGACGAAAUUCUUUUAGGGGGGAAGAGUUGUAACAUCCCGAAUUAUAGGGCUUGACGAAAGAUUUGGAUAUGUGAUGAGGAAUAGUAGUUAAGUUAAACUAUAAGGUAGAAAUUUAAUACGAAAUGUCGAUUAUGUGAUUUUCGGCAAUCUCUUUUACCCACGUAAAAUCGUAAAUCGAAGCUAAGGGCUAAUAAUUUUAUAAAUUAUAAAUUAUGGCCUAGCAUAAUUGUAAAUAAUGUGAGGAUUUAUUUUUGUCCAUUUAAGGGUAAUUGGAAUUUUUAUCGCCGAUUAUUUCGGUUUUUCACAAAAUCGAUUGUCGAAACAUUUGAGGUGUCGGACGAGAAUAAUUUUAGAUUAAUCUAGGAUUAAUGUGCUACGAGAUGGUAUAUAGAAUCCAUAAAUAUGGGAUCUUAUGACAUGAAAAUAAAUUAGUACAAGGAAAUAAAUUUAACUUAAGUAAAUAAAUAAUUAGAAUUUUAAAGAAAAAUCUAGAAGUUGUUGGAUAAAAUUUAAAAGUCAAAGACUUAUCUUCUCUCCCUCAUGAUUUUCGUCCAUGAGCAGCUCCCCUCAACCUCUAUAGCCAAAAACCUUCUUUCCCAUUUAUUUGGCUUGUUCGUCGGCAAAUCGGGGAUUUAAUCGUAUAAAACAUAGCAAAUCAAUAUAAGGCAUAGAAGCUUGUAACACGAGUCGUGCAAAAAUGAAUGGAUCUAUAAGAUAGCGAAGGGUCGAAAGGUGAAAUAGGCUUAUGUUCAUAAGCCCGCGAGGUUAGAGUUGAUAUUAUGUCACUGGUGUUGCGCAGCUUUGCAUCUUUUGCGAGUCACUGGUGGUCAACUUGGUUUAGUAGUCAUGGCAUGUUGUAUAAUAGUUUAAUCUUUAAUCUUCCGCAGGAUAAAUGUUAAGUUUUUUAAAUGUAAUAGAUUUUAAUUGUGCUUUUAAGCUAAAAAAGAAAAAAGAAAAUUUAAGCA